rnacentral:rRNA from 1 species
CGAACGGGUGAGUAACGCGUGAGGAACCUGCCUCAAAGAGGGGGACAACAGUUGGAAACGACUGCUAAUACCGCAUAAGCCCACGGCUCGGCAUCGAGCAGAGGGAAGAGGAGUGAUCCGCUUUGAGAUGGCCUCGCGUCCGAUUAGCUAGUUGGUGAGGUAACGGCCCACCAAGGCGACGAUACAUAGGGGGACUGAGAGGUUAACCCCCCACACUGGUACUGAGACACGGACCAG